rnacentral:misc_RNA from 1 species
GUUUCCCAGAAUUAGUAUCGACCUCCAUGGCUGCUGGUCCACUGGAAGAUCGAGUUCGAUCUAAAGCAAAAGAAGGAGCAGUGAAAGGAACAACUGUGGAUUACUUCAUGGAAACUCAAAGUUGCACAUGGAAGAAUGGGGAUCUGGAGAUGUGAGAGGGAAAAGUGAAAUGGGGAUUGGUUAAAAAUGGAGUGAAGUAUGAAGAAGAAAGCGAUGGAAGAAGAAGAUGAAAGGAAUUUAUGGGUCAGAAAAGCCACCGACG